GUGGGGAGGGGUGGACAUAGUUGCACCUGUGCAGAUAGAUUUACUUCCUUUAAAGAAAUACUUCUUUCACAACUACUGGGUUAGGCUGUCCUUCUUAGUAUGACAUUACUUGUCUUUUGGAGGUGUUGCUGUUACCUUCAAGCAUUGGGUCACAGAUCUUGGAGUGGACCCUAAAGGUGACAGAAAGCCUGUGCAAGCUUGGUCAACGUAGUUGCUAGAGAAAAAAAUGUGUUGGGAGCAGAGAGCACGUGGAAAAUUCUUGCCUGCUUUUCAACAUCCACCCAAGAAGUAAUCAUUGGGCAAAACUGACCACCAGGCCUCAUCUCACUGCAAGGGGGCUGAAGAAUGACAGAAGACAAAGCUCCAGCUGGCAGAGAAAGAUGAAUGUGAGAGAAGGAAAAGUUUUAUCUAAGCCUGGAACCCAAGAAGAGAACCUCUGCCUGCCCAAAUCAGAUCAACACAAAUCUAUAUUUUCAAAAAACCUAAAGCAAGGAAAAUGUUAGCUUUAUAAACUCCACUUUGGAAAAGUUUUAGAACAGACCUUAUUAUAGAGUUCCACUAAGGCACCUGGUAUGGUAUUUCAUAUGGAAUUUGAUUCACAGAACUUUUAAUUUCAUCAGUAAAAUGUUAUUAACAACUCCCAUCUUGUAAGGCAUCAAAAGUUUUUAAAACAUGGUGUCCAAUCAAAAUUACAUCUGUCUGUAGGUUCCUUAAGGUUCUCCAAAUCACUAGGAAUACAGAGGCCCCUGUCUGUUCAAAUCAGGAAAAUGUGAGACCCUUUUCAUAAAGGAGAAACUGACAUUAGAGUAAGAAUUGGAGCCCAGACCUGGGAAGUUGUCAACCCUCUCUAUGGCCAAGAGGAAGAAGUGUGUGGGACCUGGUCAGUUACAGAACUUUUUCAGUUCUGAAUCUCACAUCCUUUCUUCAGUAGGCAUCCAUAGAAGGGAAUUGCUUCUGUGAGCGAGAGGCCAGGGUUCAUUCAAGGAGCAAACUCUCUUCCUCUUUUAUCUUGUCCAGGGAUGCCCAAAGGACCUGCCCUCUGCUGAUAUCUACAAAAGAUGAUAUUUUCAAAAUGUCCAAGAGUCUCUGAUCUGUGUGUUCAGCAGGAUAACCAAGCUACUGCCUAUCAGAGCAGGGGGCCUAACACCCCUUCCAUUACUGGUUGGCUCUGAUUAUCUUGAGGCUGCCAUGCUUUGAAGAAGUCAAACCACAUAGAGAAAUCAUCAGUGUUGGCCCCAGUGCCAAAGGUGUGAGUGAGGAGCCUUCAGACAACUCCAGCCCCCAUCCCCUGCCUGGGAG
ensembl:lncRNA